AGAGAUGGAUUUGCUAUCUUUCCCCGCUUCUUUCUCUCCCGCCCAGUCCGCUGCCAAACCCUCGUUCGCCGUCCGCUGCUCGCCGGAGCCGGCCUCCGUCCGACGCCCCGUCGUCCCCUCUAGUCCUAAGAAUCCACCCUCCCCCAACCCCCUCUCCAGUAAGCUCUGGCUAUCUAGUAAGCUCUCCCCUCUCCCUUCUCCUGCUCCUACUCCACCCAUUGAAACCCUAGAACCGAAGCCACAUUGUGAGGACCAUGAUCCUCCAUCUCCGCCCCCGCCGCAAGAAUUCCGGCAAAAGGGCCAGAUCUUUGUGGGAAACCUCCCCAAAUGGAUCAAGAAGAAGGAGGUCGCUGAUUUUUUUCGGCAGUUUGGGCCUUUGAAGGAUGUUGUGCUGAUCAGAGAUCAUGAAGAUCCGGAGCGCAAUAUGGGGUACUGCUUUGUGAUCUACGGUGGUCCGAUGGCCGAUGAAUCGGCGGAGCAGGCGGUGGAGUUUGAUGGAGUGGAGUUUCAUGGCAGGGUUUUGACUGUUAGGAUGGACGAUGGGAGUAGGUUGAAGGCUAGGGCGGAGGAGCGGGCACGGUGGGCAGCUGGGAAUGAUAAAAGGGAUUUCCGGUCUCAAUGGCACGAGGAGAAUGACAGUGCUUGUCGAAGGUUCAGAAAGGUUCUUGAGACUGAGCCCAAAAACUGGCAGGCAGUGAUUAAUGCAUUUAAGAGCAUACCAAAGGCUUCUAGGGGAGAGUACGGCUUGAUGGUUAACUAUUAUGCAAGACGAGGUGAUAAGCAUCAUGCUCGCUCUACUUUUGAAGAAAUGAGAGCGAAAGGAAUAGAAGCAAAUUCUUAUGUUUUUACCAACCUUGUUAAUGCUUAUGCAGUCGCUAGAGAUAUGCGGGGUGGGCUUUCUUGUAUUGAGGAAAUGAAAGCUGAGAACAUAGAGUUGACAUUGGUGACUUACAGUAUCCUAAUCAAAGGCUUUGCUGCUAUUAAUGAUGUUGAAGCUGCAGACAAAUAUUUUAAGGAAGCAAAGAGGAAGCUUACAUCCCUAAAUGCCGUCAUAUACAGCAACAUUAUAUAUGCUCACUGCCAAGUUGGAAAUAUGACUCGAGCGGAAGACUUGGUUCGUGAAAUGGAAGAACAAGGGAUUGAUGCUUCUAUUGAUUUAUAUCACACUAUGAUGGAUGGUUACACAAAUAUUAAGGAUGAAGAGAAAUGUCUGAUUGUGUUUGAAAGGCUGAAGGAAUGUGGUUUUCCGCCAUCAGUUGUCAGUUAUGGGUGUCUUAUCAAUCUAUAUACAAAGAUUGGGAAGCUCCCUAAAGCCCUAGAAGUUGUCAACUUGAUGGAAUCAAGUGGCAUUGAACACAACUUUAAAACUUAUUCCAUGUUGAUCAAUGGAUUCAUCAAAUUAAAUGAUUAUGCAAAUGCUUUCAGCAUCUUUGAGGAAAUGUUAACAGCUGGCCUAAAGCCCGACGCUGUUCUUUACAAUAUUAUCAUCAAUGCAUUCUGUAAGAUGGGUAACAUAGAUCGAGCACUCCGUAUUGUUCACGAAAUGCAGAGAGAAAGACACCGACCAUCAGCUCGAACAUUCACCCCAAUCAUGUAUGGGUUUGCAGAAGCUGGUGAUGUGAAAAGAGCAUUGGAAGUCUUAGAUUUAAUGAGGCAUGCUGGUUGUGUUCCAACAGUAGAAACCUACAAUGUUCUUGUCCUUGGUCUUGUCCGAAAGCAUCAGGUGGACAAGGCUGUCGGAAUCAUUGACAAGAUGGUACUUGCUGGUGUAAAGCCCAAUGAGCGUACUUACACAACAGUCAUGGAGGGUUAUGCUGCUGGUGGUGACAUUGGCAAGGCUUUCGAAUAUUUUACCAGAAUUAAAGAUGAAGGGCUCAAGCUAGAUGUAUUCACAUAUGAAGCACUACUCAAAGCAUGCUGCAAGUCAGGUCGGAUGCAGAGUGCCUUGGCAGUUACCAGGGAAAUGAGUGCUCAGAAGAUGCCAAGGAAUACCUUUGUGUAUAACAUAUUGAUUGAUGGAUGGGCCCGUAGAGGGGAUGUGUGGGAGGCUGCUGAUUUAAUGCAACAAAUGAAUCAAGAUGGAGUCCUUCCUGAUAUUCACACAUAUACUUCAUUCAUAAAUGCAUGCUGCAAAGCUGGUGAUAUGCCGAAAGCAAUGGAAAUAGUUGAGGAAAUGAAGAAUGUUGGAGUGCAGCCCAAUUUGAAAACAUAUACCACUCUGAUCAAAGGUUGGGCUCGGUCUUCACUCCCUGAGAAAGCUUUACAAUGUUUUGAAGAGAUGAAGCUUGCCGGAUUGAAACCAGACAAAGCCGCCUAUCAUUGCCUAAUGACAUCACUUUUAUCAAGAGCGACAGUUGCUGAAGAAUACAUUUCUUCCGGUAUACUGAACAUCUGUAAGGAAAUGGUCAAGAAUGAUUUAACUGUUGACAUGGGAACUGCAGUUCACUGGUCCAAGUGCCUUCGCCAGAUAGAGAGAAAUGGUGGAGUACUCACAGAAGCCUUGCAGAAGACUUUUCCUCCUGCAUGGAAUUCACAUGAAAUUUAUAGAGCAAGCGAUAUCAGUGCAAGAAAUAACAGAGAUAUAGAAAAUGACGAUGGGUAUUCUAUUGAAGAAGAAACCAGGUCACUAGAUUGUUGACUUGCACAAACAACGAUAGUAAUGGCUAUGAUUCCAGACUGCACAAUUCAGGCUCAACAUUGGCCACAGUGCCAUCUCAGCUGGUUGGCAGCACAUAAGUCACACGGAUAAGCAAACAAAAAUGAUCCAGGUAAGAACAGAGUAAAGAUGAAUAUGAUUCACAUUAUGAGUAGUAAAAACAAAAUCAUCCAAAUUUUUGAAGCAAAAAGGAUCCAAGGAGACAUGGCACUCUAAUUACUAAAGAUUAGCAUAA